UUCAAACCGAACAUUACCGUUUCUCACACCUUUGUGACAAACUCAACAUCGUGAAUUGCAACACCUUAGACACAGGCCACCCAUGCCAUCAAGGACAUUAUAACCCAACUAAUCUGACUUUCUCAAAGACAAAGGAGUCACUGAGAUGAACACAAGAGUACAAGGCAGCUGGAUAUGCUAUGCACUAGUUAACUACAGCCCCCUGUUGGUAGACCACAAAACACGAAGGAGGAAAGUUACAACACAGAAUGAGGGCAUACACAACAAUCAUCGGAGACUUAACCGUGAGAGUUAGCGGAGCGUGUGUGAUGUAGACUCCAGCAGCACGUGUGGGAGCCAUCAUCACCUGUUCCUCACAUGCUGGAUCCCCGUAGGACUGUAAGUUCAACAACAGUGUCUGCUGAAACACAGCUUAAUGUCAAGUUUCAUGCUGCCACAGUUUCAUAGUGAGUGGAGUGAAGAUGGUUUUAAAGUUGAACUUUUGAAAACAUCAGCAUGGUGUUGCAUGGGCAAUCCUCUUGGAACUCUAAUAACCAUGGAGACACGUCAGUGGGUUUACUGCCUUCUCCUAUGUUUCUACCAACACGGCUUUUACUGGACAGUGGAUCAAUGACAGAAGCAAUUGUCUGGAAUCGGAUCACCGUUGUUGGACCAACUCGUCACCACGGAUCCAAUACCGGUCUCAGGCCAUGUACUCAUUCCGUCAAGCAACCAACUUCAAAGCGAUUAUCAAACCAUCUUUUUUAUUCCCUUUCCCUUGGCAAACAAAAAAAAUAGUUUGACUCUCAAUGUAAAGCCUCUGGAAAAUUGUUUGUAUCCCUGAAGUGGAAAAGUAAUUUGUUGUAUGUGACGGUGAGAGGCCCGGCCGGGGUGAGACUUGACCAGGUCGAGGAAUCAAGGUGCCACAAUGUGCUUGCUUCGACAGCUUACAUCACUACAGUUGCCAUGGUGUUAUCUCUGAAACAUGUGCCAGGCAUGGUCAAACAGAUUCGCUGUUUUUAACGACAGCAAUCUGUCAUUCGAAAAUAAACUUCUCUCAAAUUACAAGAUUCAUACUUCUUGAGCAGUAAAACGACUUUAUCAAAACAAACCCUGCAAAACGUAGACCAGCAGAUAUUUCUUAGCCAAAGCGUUCAUAAAACAUAGUGUUUUUUUCUUCCUGUCCAAU